AGUGAACGCUGGCGGUAGGCCUAACACAUGCCAGUCGAACGGCAGCACAGUAAGAGCUUGCUCUUACGGGUGGCGAGUGGCGGACGGGUGAGGAAUACAUCGGAAUCUACUUUUUCGUGGGGGAUAACGUAGGGAAACUUACGCUAAUACCGCAUACGACCUACGGGUGAAAGCAGGGGAUCUUCGGACCUUGCGCGAUUGAAUGAGCCGAUGUCGGAUUAGCUAGUUGGCGGGGUAAAGGCCCACCAAGGCGACGAUCCGUAGCUGGUCUGAGAGGAUGAUCAGCCACACUGGCACUGAGACACGGUCCAGACUCCUACGGGAGGCAGCAGUGGGGAAUAUUGGACAAUGGGCGCAAGCCUGAUCCAGCCAUACCGCGUGGGUGAAGAAGGCCUUCGGGUUGUAAAGCCCUUUUGUUGGGAAAGAAAAGCAGCAGGUUAAUACCCCGCUGUUCUGACGGUACCCAAAGAAUAAGCACCGGCUAACUUCGUG
rnacentral:rRNA from 1 species